UACGUAGGGGUCUAGCGUUGUUCGGAAUUACUGGGCGUAAAGGGCUCGUAGGCGGCCAACUAAGUCGGAUGUGAAAUCCCCAGGCUUAACCUGGGAACUGCAUCCGAUACUGGAUGGCUUGAAUCCGGGAGAGGGAUGCAGAAUUCCAGGUGUAGCGGUGAAAUGCGUAGAUAUCUGGAGGAAUACCGGUGGCGAAGGCGGCAUCCUGGACCGGCAUUGACGCUGAUGAGCGAAAGCUAGGGGAGCAAACGGG
rnacentral:rRNA from 1 species